rnacentral:rRNA from 1 species
ACGAACGCUGGCGGCGUGCUUAACACAUGCAAGUCGAACGGUGAAGCGCCUUCCUUUUUGGUGGGUGUGGAUGAGUGGCGCACGGGUGAGUAACACGUGAGUAACCUGCCCCCUUCUUCUGGAUAACCGCAUGAAAGUGUGGCUAAUACGGGAUAUUCUGGGUCUGUCGCAUGAUGGGUCUGGGAAAGAUAUUGUUUCGGUGGGGGAUGGGCUCGCGGCCUAUCAGCUUGUUGGUGGGGUGAUGGCCUACCAAGGCGGUGACGGGUAGCCGGCCUGAGAGGGUGGACGGUCACACUGGGACUGAGACACGGCGCAGACUCCUACGGGAGGCAGCAGUGGGGAAUAUUGCACAAUGGGCGCAAGCCUGAUGCAGCGACGCCGCGUGGGGGAUGGAGGCCUUCGGGUUGUAAACCUCUUUCGCCAGUGAAGCAGGCCUGCCUCGUUUGUGGGUGGGUUGACGGUAGCUGGAUAAGAAGCGCCGGCUAACUACGUG